AGGACAAGACCCUUGGCACCGCACUGCCAUAAUUCAUUCAAUCAAAUUAAGCGAUAGUUUUUAAUACCAAGAGCUUGUGUUUUCAUAUUGGGAGAAGGAGUAUCGGAUAUAAGAUCGUAGUGCAAUAUGAUGACAAAUUAUGAGGAUCGGGAUUAUGAUGCUAAGGAAGGAAGAUCAAGGGUUGAGAAAUGUGUAAUUAGGGACCAUAUGAUUCUUAAUAAGAAAGGAGAGGAUUCUGGGGUAAAUCCCUCAGUUACGGACACAACAGACUUGUCAAACGCAACGCGCAAAGAAGCUCGUAGAGCCUGUAAUUCUAUUUUUUAUCGUCCUUUGGUAAAUACAAGAAAUUAAUGCUUUUGUAGAAUUUGUUACCCGUAUUAACAAGAGAGAUAAAAUUAUACUACGGAUUCAAAACCAAAAGAUAUGGAGGAUUGCAUUCUCACUUUAUGGUGUCAUAUGGCCCGAAGAUGAGCCUUAUGCAGAUGAAGCAAUUGAACUGCUGAGGACAACCAUAUCUCAGAGAUGGGUGGAGGUUGAACUGCAGACUAUUGAUGAAGAUGGAUAUUUUGUGGGAUAUUUAUCGGAGUCAAAUACCAUGUGCUAACUCCCGUCCUUGAAGCCGGCCUUGCAGAACUUGAAG